AUUUCCAGUCACAGAGCUAGGGGUUAGCAGCCUGGACCGAGCCGCAUCAUAGUCCUUGCCGCAGGAAGUCUGUUGGGAAUAGGAUUCUGGCAUCUGCUGGGAACCAUCCCUGUUUGCACGCACUAGGUUCUAUGGAAAAACCCAAACCUUGCAUCAGUCGGCUUUGGUUUUUAAGCAACAAAGAGCAAGCCUGGUUGCUCCAAGAGGACAGUGGAGAUGUUGUCCCAACCUGUUGUGCGCAGGAAACCCCACUUAAGGACUGUCCCCUGAUCAAGAUGUAGAACGCUCAGCUUCUCCUGCACCAUGCCUGCCUGGAUGCUGCCAUGCUCCUCUCUUAAUGAUAAUGGACUGAACCUCUGAACCUGCAACCAACCCCAAUUAAAUGUUGUCCUUUAUAAGA